rnacentral:rRNA from 1 species
AGUGAACGCUGGCGGUAGGCCUAACGCAUGCAAGUCGAACGGCAGCACAGUAAGAGCUUGCUCUUACGGGUGGCGAGUGGCGGACGGGUGAGGAAUACAUCGGAAUCUACUUUUUCGUGGGGGAUAACGUAGGGAAACUUACGCUAAUACCGCAUACGACCUACGGGUGAAAGCAGGGGAUCUUCGGACCUUGCGCGAUUGAAUGAGCCGAUGUCGGAUUAGCUAGUUGGCGGGGUAAAGGCCCACCAAGGCGACGAUCCGUAGCUGGUCUGAGAGGAUGAUCAGCCACACUGGAACUGAGACACGGUCCAGACUCCUACGGGAGGCAGCAGUGGGGAAUAUUGGACAAUGGGCGCAAGCCUGAUCCAGCCAUACCGCGUGGGUGAAGAAGGCCUUCGGGUUGUAAAGCCCUUUUGUUGGGAAAGAAAAGCAGCAGGUUAAUACCCCGCUGUUCUGACGGUACCCAAAGAAUAAGCACCGACUAACUUCGUG